CAAGUGAUCCACCCGCCUUGGCCUCCCAAAGUGCUGGUUAAUUGUACAGUGUUAAAAAGAGAAUAAUAUUCUUUACCCUGAUGCCUGAAAAACACCCUACAAACAAAACUUCAAACUUCACCAAUGACUUGUCUCCCUUAUGCGAAAGUAUUUGUAUAAAUUUUUUUGAAUGAAAGAAAAGAAGAAAGAAAGGCACAAAAUAUAUAUAUAUAAAAAGGCAAUUAAAAAAUCGCUUCUGUGUAUGCUCAGCAGGGAUCUGGUAAAAAUUAAACUGAGGCUAAUGAAGCUCCAAGCCCCCGCAUAACGCCACAGAGGGAGGAAGACUGAAUAUUGCCUGCUAUGAGGCAAACUGCUUAAGGAGCUUUGUGAAAGUCUCACUGAAACCAACUUAGCAAAUGCUCCUGUCCCAAAGCCUUUAUGACGAUCAUCUCCAAUCAGAUAAUGUUCCUGCCACCAUGGAGCUAGGUGCCACUCCAGUGCAUGCAAAGUUAUCUCGGUGAGGUGUUAACUUGAAAGUCAAGGGAGACUAGUAAGUGGAUCUUAUUAAACAAUCCAGGACUCUAGGCUCUCGUUGAUCCCCGGGUGGGUGCUAGGCAUGUAGAUGGUUCAUUAGAAGACUCACCCAUUAGCUUUUCUGAGCCCAGUUGUGUAUUUUUUGUAAACCCAGGCAGCUUCCAGCAAAACAGAAGUUUUGGUUUCCUGACUUUUCUGUGGCUUGCGACCAUAUUCAAGCCUUUCCUGGAGGAUUUGCAGAGCCUCCCACCAUAGAAAUCUCCCAAGUGCUGGCUUUCUUGAGACCAGAGCUCAUGCAUCAUUGUCACCAAAUUUAUCCCCUGUGUUCUAUUCCCUCUAGGUCUUUUCUAGAGACUUGCUUGCUAAUUUCACAUAGACCACUGGAAGUGUGGUCCUCAGCCCAGCAGCAUCACAACAUCUGAGAGCUCCUGAGAAAUGCACAAACUGGCCAGGUAUGAUGAUACAGAUUUUGCUAAGCUGGUGCAACAGAAUACUACAUAGUGAUUAAAAGAGAAGGAAUUGACACGGUAUGAAGUUUAUGCACAACUAGUAUAUACUAGGAUGCCAGCUUUGAAAAUAGGAAAACAGAAAGGAAUAUUACACAGAAGAGGAGAAAACAAUAUGGUGACCAUGGAGGUAGAGGUUAGAGUGAUGCAGCCACAAGCCAAGGAAUGCCAACAGCCACUAGAAGCAGGAAGAGGUAAUGAGAACUCUGUAACCCAAGAUUUUUUGCAUUUUGUCUUAGCCACCAGAAAGCUCAGAGAGGUGGUCCUUGAGUGCAGGGGCCAUGUCUUUCUAUCUCUGGCAUCAGCGCAGGUCCUGGCACACAACAAGCACAUAACUUAAGUUUGCUGAGGGAAUGAAUGAAUGAACGGCAGACUGUCUCUUUGGUAGGACCAUGCAUUCAUUGGUGGAAGGUCCUACCCUUGCCAUUUCUUUCUUGCCUUGUAAGACGCAUUGCCCCAGAGGACACCAUGAACAAGGACUGACAAAAGCAAAGAAUACAGCCAAGGCAGUGAGCAAAGUGUCACCUUAGGAGGUUGGAUGCUGAUUUUAUUUGAAUGUCGGUCAGCAAUCCUACAGUAACCUGACUCCAAAGACGGCUGCCAUGAAUUCCUUCCCUCCCUGUACUUCCCCGUUGAGGAGCGGAGUCUCCAGAAUCUGGGCUGGACUGGGUUUGACCUACAGAAUACUGCAGAAGUAUAUGGCAUGAGAGAGUAUAGCCAACUCCAGGCUUGGCAUUCAAGAGGAAUGGAGUUUCUGCUUCCUGUAUUUGGGAGCCGUGAGCUGCCUGGUAAGAAGGUUAGACCACUCCACUCAAGAGAGAGGCUGCAUGCACAGGCACUGAAGGACUAGAUGUGUGAGCAAGGAGGCCAUCUUGGGGAACAGCCAGCCCAGCCGAGCCUACAAAAGACUCCAGCCCCAGUCAUCUGAUGGCAGCCACAGAAGGGAGCCCAGAAAUGCCCAGCUGAGCCCAGGCGAAAUCAUCUGAAUUGAUACAGUGUGAAAAUGAAUCUCUAUCCUAUGCCCUUUCACUGCUGGGAGAAAGAAAAAAAUGGAAAUUAUAAAGUUUUUAUCCUUUCUUUCAUGCUGUUCAAGUGUGGGCCCCGGAGCAGGCCUUGCAAAGCCUGGGAUACUCAAAGGUAGCAGCUGAGUUGUGGGUGGAACCUAAAUUGCUUUGCAUAAUGAAAUAAAAGAAUUGAGUGUGAGAGGAGGGGGCUAGAGAACAGAAACUCAGGAAAGUAGGAGGAGGUGUGUGUGUGUGUGUGUGUGUGUGUGUGUGUGAGUGUGAGAGAGAGAGAGAGAGAGAGAGCAGGGCAAAGAGAAAUAGGAAGGGGAGCUGAUCCCAGGGGAAAAGGCAGCCUCAGUAAAGUCUGCUAUGCACAAAGCCUGCUUUGAAUGUGAGGAUGAGUUUCAUGUUUGGCUUGGUGUGGAGCAGAGGAAAACCCAGGAGGUGCAGAGUGAGGGAAGUGGAGAACUAGAGGAAGAGGAAGGCAGAGUUAGAAGCGGCUGGGGGAAUGUGAGGUGCUAGGGCUUUAUAGGAAUCUGGAAGCUGGCAUGGGGAGCAGGGAGGGGUUAUGGCAGUAAAAAAUCUUUAACUCUGGAAGUGCAAAAUGACAUCUUCUGACAUAUUGAUUGAAGACUAGCUUCUUACACAAUUAUUAUGUACUAAAAAAAUGUGUUUUUUCCCCAAGUUUCAAGUAUCCAAAUUCUACAUUCAGUUUUCUUUGAGAUCCUUGCUGCUGUUUAACUCCUAGACCACAGCAAGACUUGUUGAGAUAAGUCAAGCUUGCCUGAAAUUAUAGUAAACAACCCGAGUGAAUGGGAAGCAGUGUAAAUGGAAAGAGAGCCAAGCUUUAUCAGGAGGACUAGGUUCUUGCUGCAAUUCUCUCGCUAACUUCCUGGGUGACCCUGAGCAAGUUGCUCAGUGAUUCCUAGCCUCAGGUUCCUCCCCUAUAAAAUAAAUAGCUAGCUGUCCUCCCUUGCUCCUGCUCUCGCCAUUUGAUGUGACUGCUCCCGCUUCGCCCUCUACCAUGAUUGGAAGCUUCCUGAGGCCUCACCAGAAGAGAUGCCAGCACCAUGCUUCCUGUACACCCUUCAGAACCAUACUCCUUAGUUAAAAACAGGUUAAGAAAAUAAUUAAAAAAAAAAAAAAAAGAAAGAAACUCAACUCAUAUUUCAGUGAUUAGAGCAAGAAUAAGGAUAUGGAAUCACUUGAGGCAAUGAAUUAAAGAAUCAUUAUGAAUGAAGAGCUCAUGUGUGAAUGACAAGCUGCAUAUUGAACAUAUUGUGAAUUAAAUAGCUAAGUCCUACAUCCUUCCAUGGAUUGUAAGAAAACAAACAAGCAACCAAAUUCAGAUGGACAUAGCAAUAAGAGUUAUGUGAAAAGAGGUAAAACGCAAGUCUGUGAAUUAAUACAUUGUGUUAGCCGAUUAUAGUGAUAGUGGAUUUUUUUGUGUUGAAGCCUGAGUCAGCCACUGCCUUGGGAAGAAUUGUGGACUAUAUUUCCAUCUGAAAAAAAAAAAAAAUUCUAGAAGAGUCAUCUAAGGAGGAUGCAUUGAAAAAGAACAAAUCCUGGAGAAUAUUAACUAUGGAAACUGCAAAGGAAGGGAGGGAUUUAACUGAAGAUGUAGAAUUGGAGGUGGAAAAUAAGGAUGAGGGUUUGCUAAGAAGACCGUGUCAGGACUGAUAAAGAAGAAGAAAUACAAGGGAGACCUUGACUUACUGCUGGUUUUUUGUUUUAUUUUCUGCACAGAAAUAGAAUGUCUUGAACUCUUUGGGUGGAGGUUUGAGUUCAAUUACCGAUUGUUUGGAGCUAAAGGUCUGUUCACUCACCCUAUAUUCUCGCAGAUAUAGGCCACAUAGAGAUGGUGAAAAUGAACCAAAAAACAAAAACAAGUGAGACUAGGGAGUGAGAAGGAGAAAAGAUAUCUGAAAAGAUGCCAAGAAAAUUUUGUGUCUGAAGGAACCUCUAUUCCAGUUGUUUGAUUUUACAGAUGAAGACACUGAGACUCCAGAAGAAUCCAUAAUUGAAGGUCACACACUAAUGGUUAGUGGCAAGAUUGGUAGUAGAACUUAGAUUUCCUGGUUUCCAUUUUUGCAGUCUUGUUACUACAUGUUCAGUAGUUAGCUUUGGGUUACUGCGUGCUCAAACUAGCUUCUUUACCCGAAGGACACAUUUUAAAAUAAAAUUUUCAGUAUCAAAGGGUGACACCUGCAAUAUCAUAUUAAGAGGAAAAUUAACUAGUAUUUGCUUGGGCAGACCCAUUAAAGCAGCCUUCCUGAAGAAUAAUAGAGAUUGCCAGCAGUUUCUAACAUGAUUCAUACCUUCUUUGUGCAUAUGCAAAGCACAUUUAAAAUAUGAACCCAUAGGGCAAUAGGAGAAAGUCAACUGAAUUAACAGUGAAAACAAAUGACUGUUCUUAAAAAAUAGCUAAUGUGUAUCUGUUCCUUUAAAACAAAAUUUUAAAAAUCAUUUUGGAAUUAUCAAAUAUAUCACUGUUUUUAGAAAAGAAAAAGCCAGCUUCUAACAUUUGCAGGUCCUGUCAAGGAAGCAAAUAGAGAUCCACAUAUAGCAUAUCUACAUAUCUACAUUUUACAAGAUAAGGUAACAAACUAUCAGGUAAAAUAUGUCCUAUAUGUAAGGGCAAGUAAAUAUUAAAAAUAAGAGGCUUAAUUCUUGUUAAAAAUAAGGGAAGAAAUUACCUUCCUUCACUUAGAGUAUUUAAUUUAGAAAAUGUGUUCUUGUAAGUUAUUUCCCUGUCUCUUUGACAUGUAUGUAAAUGUUUUUAGAGCUAAAUAAGUCUUCUGCUGUCUUUGUGACCCAGGAAUGUCUUUCUCAAGGAUCCAGCAGCCAUUGCUUUAGAAUAUAAUCAUUGAGGGAGAUAGCACCCCAUCUGUCAGUUUCUGAGGGACGGUAGGAGCCUAACUUUGGUGACUGCCUGCCCCUGACGGCUUGCAAAAUUACCUUCUGUCAUAAAGAUAGGAGAAGCUUAUUUUUCCUUUGUAUAAAAUCAUUUAACUAAUACAGAUGGUUACUCCAAUUACCAGGUGAAUUUAGGAUGAACCAUGUGUUAUAAAUGGUGCUAUCAAAUCCUAUUAUUUGAGAACUAAUUUUUGUUUAUCUUGGGAAAAGGUAUAUAAUGGGUCGCAUCUUCUCGGCUAUAUUAAAGGCUGGAAUUUCUUUCUGUCUUUGUAAUUCCUUAGUGAAUUGCCUGUGAUGUGCAUCACAUUUUGGUUUAAUAGUUUAUUCAGUAUAAAACUAUUUUCUCUACUACCUUUGAGGAGAGGAUUUCUGGGUUGGAAGAAGAUUUUGUUUAAAAUUAUAUUUUCUCAACAUAUCCUUUCACCUUGACAAAUAUACAGUCCUAGUGAAUUGGAAAAUGGGAUUUAAAUGAAGAAUUCUUAGACUCUCCAGAGUUCUUCCUCAAAAUAUGGCAUGGUGGGGAGAGCUGGCCCUGGCCUAUGACCUCACCUCAUCUUCCCUUACCACUGCAAUGGCCUUGGGCACACACGUGUGGUAACCCAGUCUGCACAUCCAGCUCUAUCCUCAACUCCCCCGGACUUCAGCCCCACAAACAUCAGCCCCUUGUCACUUCUUAGGGCUGGGGGUGUGCACACGGGUGGGGGUGCAGCUGCCCUUGAGAGGGUUGACUUGAGAAGGCACCAUGCACAGGCUCUGGGACCCUGGACAGGGCAUUCCGGAGUCCCAGGUGCCUGAACACAGUCUAAUAUUAUGGCCAAGGACUCAGGGUAAGCAUGUACUGUUGACACUGAAAGCUCCUGGCCUUGUGCAGAGAAGCCUGGCUAGAAAAGUGUCAGAGAGAGGCUGGGGAAGGGUCAGGGUGGGGCUGUCUAUCAUGCAGCAGGAGUAGUACACUUCCCCGCUCCUCAGGUCUCAGGGUGAAUAAUGUAUUCUGAGAGAAAAAGCAAGAAGUGAAAAGUACACCUAAUUUCCUUUCACGUUUACUUUCAUUUUUGUUAUUCUAUUUAUUUUAUUUUUUUGAG